rnacentral:sRNA from 12 species
GCUGCGGAGUGUACUCGAACUUGUGAUCAGCGGUGAGAGCCGUGAAAGCAUACACAGUGAAACAGCAA